UCAAGUAAGUAAGGGCGUACGGCGGAUGCCUUGGCCAUAUCAGCCGAAGAAGGACGCGAUAAGCUGCGAUAAGCUGCGGUGAGGUGCAAGUAACCUUUGACCCGCAGAUCUCCGAAUGGGGAAACCCGGCAGCAGUAGUGCUGUCAUCCUCUAUGAGGAAGGGCACCCGGUGAACUGAAACAUCUAAGUAGCCGGAGGAAAAGGAAUCAACAGAGAUACCCCUAGUAGCGGCGAGCGAACGGGGCAGAGCCCAAACCGGAAUGGGAAACCAAUCCGGGGUUGUGGACUGCUAUCAAAUGCAUGAGUGAAGCAGAAUGAGCUGGGAAGCUCAGCCAGAGAGAGUGAGAGCCUCGUAGGCGUAAGCAAAUGCAUGGAGCAGGAUCCAGAGUACCACGGGACACGAGAAACCCUGUGGGAAGCUGGGGGGACCACCCUCCAAGGCGAAACACUGAUAUGGACCGAUAGCGCAUAGUACCGUGAGGGAAAGGUGAAAAGAACCCCGGGAGGGGAGUGAAAUAGAACCUGAAACCGUAUGUCUACAAGCAGUCGAAGCACUUUAUAGGUGCGACGGCGUGCCUAUUGAAGAAUGAACCGGCGAGUUACUUCAGCUAGCGAGGUUAAGCGGAAAACGUGGAGCCGAAGCGAAAGCGAGUCUGAACAGGGCGUAUAGUUAGUUGGAGUAGACCCGAAACCACAGUGAUCUACCCAUGUCCAGGUUGAAGCACAGGUAAAAAUGUGUGGAGGACCGAACCAGUGAGCGUUGAAAAGCUUUUGGAUGAGAUGUGGGUAGGGGUGAAAUGCCAAUCGAACGUGGAGAUAGCUGGUUCUCCCCGAAAUAGCUUUAGGGCUAGCCUCAUGGCGAGAGUACAGGCGGUAGAGCACUGAACGGGGUAGGGGCCUAUCCGGCUACUGAACCUAAUCAAACUGCGAAUGGCUGUACUUAUCCAUGGGAGUCAGACUGUGAGUAAUAAGGCCCAUAGUCAAGAGGGAAACAGCCCAGACCAACAGCUAAGGUCCCCAAUGCCGUACUAAGUGGCGAAGGAUGUGGAAUUUCGAAAACAACCAGGAUGUUGGCUCAGAAGCAGCCACCAUUAAAAGAGUGCGUAAUAGCUCACUGGUCGAGAGACUCUGCGCCGAAGAUGUCCGGGGCUAAAGUACGGAACCGAAGCUUUGGCAAUUGACAUUAGUCAAUUGGGUAGGGGAGCGUUCCUGCAUGGGAGAAGCCUGACCGGAAGGACAGGUGGACAGGCAGGAAGAGAGAAUGCCGGUAUGAGUAGCGAAAAGAAGGGUGAGAAUCCCUUCCACCGAAAGCCUAAGGGUUCCUGGGCAACGAUCGUCGUCCCAGGGUAAGUCGGGACCUAAUCCGAGGCGGAGACGCGUAGGAGAUGGACAACAGGUUGAAAUUCCUGUACUGGCUGAGGNNGAGGCCGAGAUGCGAUGGGGAGCUUCUGGAGACAGAAGCGAAGGGGCUGGCACUAAACUGUCGAGAAAAGCUUCUAGUGAGGACUCAGGCACCCGUACCGAAACCGACACAGGUAGGCAGGAUGAGAAUUCUAAGGUGCGCGGGAAAACCCUCGUUAAGGAACUCGGCAAAAUAUAUCCGUAACUUCGGGAAAAGGAUAACCCAGCGUACGUGAAGUGCAGAAGCGCAUGGAGCGGAGAUGGGUGGCAGAAGAGAGGCCCAAGCGACUGUUUACCACAAACACAGGUAUCUGCGAAAGCGAGAGCUGACGUAUAGGUGCUGACACCUGCCCGGUGCUGGAAGGUUAAGGGGAAAUGUUAGCGCAAGCGAAGCAUCGAACCGAAGCCCCAGUAAACGGCGGCCGUAACUAUAACGGUCCUAAGGUAGCGAAAUUCCUUGUC
rnacentral:rRNA from 1 species